UGGGGAAUAUUGCGCAAUGGGGGAAACCCUGACGCAGCCAGCCCGCGUGGGUGAUGAAGGCCUUCGGGUCGUAAAGCCCUGUCGGUGGGGAAGAAACCAUGACGGUACCCGCCAAGAAAGCACCGGCUAACUCCGUGCCAGCAGCCGCGGUAAUACGGAGGGUGCAAGCGUUGCUCGGAAUUACUGGGCGUAAAGCGGACGCAGGCGGCUUGUCAGGUCGAGCGUGAAAGCCCGGGGCUCAACCCCGGAACUGCGCUCGAAACCGGCUCGCUCGAGUUCGGGAGAGGAGAGCGGAAUUCCUGGUGUAGAGGUGAAAUUCGUAGAUAUCAGGAGGAACACCAGUGGCGAAAGCGGCUCUCUGGCCCGAAACUGACGCUCAUGUCCGAGAGCGUGGGGAGCA
rnacentral:rRNA from 1 species